rnacentral:tRNA from 1 species
GAGUCGGAACGAUAUAUACGGCUGAUCUGUAAAAUCAGUAUUCCCACAGUUUUAAUUAGGGCCUACUCU